CAAAAGUAAAAGCAUGGAUUAGAGAUAACUGGAUGGGGCACUCCGGCGACUUUAGCGUCACACGGCCGUUAUGCGCAUGCGCGAGGAACGUACACGACCGCGACCUUGGCGCCUGUUGUAAACUCAAUGGCGGAGUGCUUUGCGGCGAUCGUUAUUUUGCUUUUACGUGUGAUUACGUGUGUUUAAAGAAGAAGUUGGGGCAGCAUAUUUUAUAUUGAAAGACCUUAACUACAAGUUACAACUCUAUAAUGACUUAUAAUGCUGCAUAUCAAAUUUGACCAGCUGCCAGCCAUUGGUUCUGGAUCAGCCUGUUUAUGAGCACUGGACUGGAAGGAUGGGGAUUGGGGCUGGGGCAAGAUCAUGAUGGCAAUGCUUGUGUGGUGUCUUGAGUGUUAAGCAUGUAUGUGUAUUGGCCUGCUAGGAUGUUUGAUAUUGAAAGUAGUUUUGUGUAUCAAUUAUGUUUAUAAAGACCAAUGGACACCUGAAUCCUGAUGCGCUAAGGCGUGGAGAUCUACUGGUCAUGUUUGUAUCGAUACGUCUCCACUUCCCUACUUGCCACUUGUUCCAUCAAUGGCCUCCGUUACUGGAGGGCAGUGGGCACUGAUCAGUGUUUUUUUAGAUGUCUGUGAACUUGUCCGUCCUUGGGAGUUGUUUCUGAUGGGCUGUUAUUUUGAAGAAAGCUAAUGCUGAGCGCUGUAGAUCGGUGAGUUUUUGUUGCAAAUAGAAUCGUCUCAUUCAGCAUUCUGUUUGCUCAUGGCAUUUGCUAACUUA